rnacentral:lncRNA from 1 species
GGAGAACCAGAGUAAACCCUCGUGGUGUCCUGGCUUCUAAGCAUUUUGUUGGCAAGAAGGGAUGACCAGGCACCCUGUUCAUCUGCAUGUACAAAGUCUGCAACACAGGUUUUGAUGAGGAGUAAACAAGCUGCUGAACAAGCUGUUUGUCCACACACAAAUAUUGAACUAACAUGACUGGCCAGAUGCACUGAAAAGAGAAUUGAGACACUGAACUCAGAGCACAUGGAGAAAAAGAGAGGGAGAAAGAUUAAAUUUUGUCUAACUGCUCUUGUAUGUUUCCUCAGUUUUGUCUUGAAAGGAGGAUAAUGUGUCCAAGGAUGGUGUGUGGCCUUGCUGAUGCAGCAUUCCUUGGAGAGGCUGUCUCCUGUCCAAGGCCCUGUGAGAGCAAAGGUUGGCAGGGUCCCAUCUUGCCACAAUUGACCUCUGUGUGAUCUGCUCAGGAAAUGAAUUGGCAGGCAGGUUGGGAAAUUUUGCAAAAUGAAUAGUCACUUAUAAGGGAUCAGGAGUUGGAGCCAGAGCCCGAGAGAAACUUAUUACCAAACACUAAGACUUAGUGAGAGGUUCCCCAGGAUGCUAACUCCUGUGCUGAGAGCUCUUGUUAAGCUAUUUAAGCCCCUGCAAGAGAGAUGUCUGCAAUCAUAGAAGAAAUGAAGAGUAAUCCUGAGUCAUGGCAGGAGAAGACCCUGGAGCAAGGCGAACGGAGUUCACAUCUGUGCCCUCCACUUACUAGGAAGGCUUUGCGCAGGCUGCUUAAGGUCUCUGAGACUCAGCCUCCAUAAAAUGGGUACCAGAACACCUUUUUCUGUGAGAGGUACAUGAAUUAGUAGGGAUCCGGUGGUGAAUAAAUAAUCUGUUGAAUGAAUGAUUUAAUAUAAAUCACCUUUCCCAGUGCCUAGUUCCUCAUUUAUGCUUUUAAUGAGUGAAUAAAGAAUAUAUUUUUC